UAAUUGAGUGUUUUAUGGCACUCUUUAAAAAAUCCAUAUCCACCUUGUGUGCAACGUUUUUGGACACCCUGGCGCUGAUAUCUCUUUUUAAGAGAAGGAAAGCCGGGAUGUUUGAUUAACUUAACUCAACUCCUUUAAAACAGUUUGUCUGAAUACCUAUUUCUGAAUAACAUAAUUCAAAAAUA
rnacentral:misc_RNA from 1 species